CCCUGUAAUUGGAAUGAGUACACUUUAAAUCCUUUAACAAGGACCUAUUGGAGGGCAAGUCUGGUGCCAGCAGCCGCGGUAACUCCAGCUCCAAUAGCGUAUAUUAAAGUUGUUGCGGUUAAAACGUUCGUAGUUGAAAUUGUGCUUCAUGCGGGUAGUACAACUAUAAUUGUAGUUUGUACUGUACCUUAUGUAUGUAAGCGUAUUACCGGUGGAGUUCUUAUGUGUGUUAAAUACUCGUAUUUUUCACAUAUUCCUCCUAUUUAAACCUGCUUCAGUGCUCUUCAUCGAGUGUUGUUGUGGGCCGGUACAAUUACUUUGAACAAAUUAGAGUGCUUAAAGCAGGCUCCAAAUGCCUGAAUAUUUUGUGCAUGGAAUAAUGAAAUAAGACCCCUGUUCUACUUUCAUUGGUUUUUAGAUCAAGAGGUAAUGAUUAAUAGAAGCAGUUUGGGGGCAUUAGUAUUACGACGCGAGAGGUGAAAUUCUUGGACCGUCGUAAGACUAACUUAAGCGAAAGCAUUUGCCAAAGAUGUUUUCAUUAAUCAAGAACGAAAGUUAGAGGUUCGAAGGCGAUCAGAUACCGCCCUAGUUCUAACCAUAAACGAUGCCAGCUAGCAAUUGGGUGUAGCUACUAUCAUGGCUCUCUCAGUCGCUUCCCGGGAAACCAAAGCUUUUGGGCUCCGGGGGAAGUAUGGUUGCAAAGCUGAAACUUAAAGGAAUUGACGGAAGGGCACCACCAGGAGUGGA
rnacentral:rRNA from 1 species